rnacentral:rRNA from 4 species
ACGCUGGCGGCAGGCCUAACACAUGCAAGUCGAGCGGAAACGACACUAACAAUCCUUCGGGUGCGUUAAUGGGCGUCGAGCGGCGGACGGGUGAGUAAUGCCUAGGAAAUUGCCUUGAUGUGGGGGAUAACCAUUGGAAACGAUGGCUAAUACCGCAUAAUGCCUACGGGCCAAAGAGGGGGAUCUUCGGACCUCUCGCGUCAAGAUAUGCCUAGGUGGGAUUAGCUAGUUGGUGAGGUAAUGGCUCACCAAGGCGACGAUCCCUAGCUGGUCUGAGAGGAUGAUCAGCCACACUGGAACUGAGACACGGUCCAGACUCCUACGGGAGGCAGCAGUGGGGAAUAUUGCACAAUGGGCGAAAGCCUGAUGCAGCCAUGCCGCGUGUAUGAAGAAGGCCUUCGGGUUGUAAAGUACUUUCAGUUGUGAGGAAGGGGGURWMGUUAAUAGCKKYRYMUCUUGACGUUAGCAACAGAAGAAGCACCGGCUAACUCCGUGCCAGCAGCCGCGGUAAUACGGAGGGUGCGAGCGUUAAUCGGAAUUACUGGGCGUAAAGCGCAUGCAGGUGGUUCAUUAAGUCAGAUGUGAAAGCCCGGGGCUCAACCUCGGAACUGCAUUUGAAACUGGUGAACUAGAGUGCUGUAGAGGGGGGUAGAAUUUCAGGUGUAGCGGUGAAAUGCGUAGAGAUCUGAAGGAAUACCAGUGGCGAAGGCGGCCCCCUGGACA